rnacentral:lncRNA from 1 species
GAAUCUGGGAGCAAAAACAGCCGAAACACGCCAACGUUUAGUUUGGAAUGAAUUUAACCUCUCGAUUAACACUGUGAACCCUUUGUGGGAUGGGGAUUAUGUAUUUGUUAAGUGUUUUAUAUGUCAGGCACUGUAUUAAGCACCGGGGUAGCUACAAUCUAAUCAAGUUGGACUCAGUCGAUAUCGCACACGAGGCUCACGGUCUUAAUCCCCAUUUUAAAGAUUAGCUGAGACACAGAGAAGUGAAGUGAUUUGCCCAAGGUCACACAGCAGACAAGCGUCCUUCUGAUUCUUUGAAACAAAAUUAGCCUUUUCAGCCUGGGAACCAAAACUGGACCUUCCACUGGGCUGGAUUCGUCUUUCUUUGAUUUUCUAUUCCUUAUCUCCAAUCUAUCGUACAGGUGUUUGCUUGCAGGGGUGCGGUGAGCAGACUUUACUUUAUCAGGGUCCGAGCCAAGAGAAGCAGCGCAGUCUAAAAGAAGCAGUGGGGCCCCAGUGGGAAGAGCAUGGGCCUGGACGUCAGAAGGACCUGGGUUCUAAUCCUGCCUCCGCUACUUGUCCGCUGUGUAACCUUGAGCAAGUCACUUCAUUUAUUUGUGCCCACUUACCUCGUCAGUAAAACGGGGAUUAAAAGCGUGAGCCCAAUGUGGGACGGGGGUUCUGCCCAACCUGGUUAUCCUCUAUCUAGGUCGUACAGCUCGUAGUACAGUGCCUGGAACGUUGCAAGUGCUUAACGGAUACCAGUUUAAAAAAAAAAUUCAUAAUUUUUUGAAAGCACCUCACAGCACUCCCCGGCACACCAGUCCCGCGGUCAAGGCUACAGGAACCGAACUAUCCAAGAGAGGUGGCCGGUGCCUCUAUUUCUGGGGUCGGAAGGCAGGAGAAGGGGCCAAUCCCAGAAGGCUGAACUGCUGUUCCAGAAUCAUGGGGAUAAUAAAAGCCAUGAAAGGGAAAGGAGGCUUCAGGUACAUCUGCCGGCAUUGCAGACACAAGGAAAAACCUGGAUUCCCCAGUAGCUUUCUGGUGCCCGGACCCCUCCCCAGCCUGUAACCGAAACACAGGAGCAGUGGCCCUGGCUGAUGGUGGGCAGUUCAAGCGAUUUCCACACCUGUUGCAGCUCCUGCAGGUCCUGCCUCUCAAAGACCUCUUCUUGAGGCCCAAAUCCACAACUAAGUCAUUGGCCUGACUUUAAUGGGACAGAAGAAGACCAGGACCCUGACUCUAAUAAUCAUGUACCCAAUCGAUCGUAUUUAUUGAGCACCUACUACGUGCAGAGCACUGUACUUAGCACUUGGGAGAGUAGCUCGUUGUGGGCGGAGAAUGUGUCUGUUUGUAGUUAUAUGGUACUCUCCCAGUACAGUAAGCGCUCAAUAAGUACGAUUGAAUGAAUUCAUUCAAUCGUACUUAUUGAGCGCUUACUGUGUGCAGAGCACUGUACUAAGUGCUUGGAAUGUACAGUUCGGCAACGGAUGAAUGAAUGAAGGAAUGAAAUAAGAGACUUGGUAGCCCCUGACAUGUUUUGGAGUUGCUGGUGCCACUUCCGGGGUAAGGCAGCAGGCCUCAGGUUCCGCUGAGGAAAGGAGGGACAACAGGGUGGGGUGAACUGGAGUAAAUGGUUCAGCUUCUUCAGCCUCGAGUCUCCCUCUUUAAGUGGACACACUGAUUCGGCGUACUCUGGGUCUGGUGGGAGGAAAGAAAGGAGCACGGGGAGGUGGGGAGCUAUUGCUAAUCGGUCAUCUGUGUGAGGUUGUGGUCAAACCACUGGGUCAUCUCUGGGCAAGGUUCUGGAUGUCCAUUUGAAGCAUUCACUAUAGGGCUGGAGGGCAACUCCGUAGUCAUCCCUCUUGGAGGGUGGCCACCACACAGGUUUCCGGUCAAGGGAGUCUCCAACACCAGGCCUCAGUCUUGCUGACCCCACCAAUAGUCUCACUCCCAUCUCUCCCCUGGGAUGGAUCUCUGGGGGUGAUAAGGACUUUUGGUUGGUUGCUAGGGCAGAUCAGAAUUGGUGCUGGAGCAGCUGCAGUCAAUCUGGUCACAAGAUCAGACCCCAUUCUAAAAUCCCACACGUUAUGUGGUCCGAGGGAGCAGCGUGGCCUAGUGGAUAGAGCACGGACCUGGGAUUCAGAAGGCCGUGGGUUCCAAUCCCAGCUCGGCCACUUGUUUGCUGUGUGACCUUGGGCAAGUCACUUAACUUGUCUGCACCUCAGUUCCCUCAUCUUUAAAUUGGGGAUUAAGAGUGUGAGCCCCAUGUGGGACAGUGACUGUGUCCAGUCUGAUUACCUUAUAACUACCCCAGCACUUAGGCACUUGACAAAUACCAUAAUUAUUAUUAUUAGUGAGUGAGAUCCAUCCCCGGUCCUCAACCUCCUGCCUCCCUGACAAGAGUCACUUCAGUGGCCCCUGUUCCAACUGUGAAAAACCAAAGGAAAUAAAAAAUUCACUUUCAGAAGAGACCAGUGGGCAUGUGUGGCAUUCAGAGGGGCUGAGCCAGGGCUGAGUGCAUGUGACCAUAUGCAUCUUUGCUUUAAACUAUGAACUCCUCCACCUGGACUGGGCCAUUGGUGGACUCUUCCUCAGUCAGACUCAAUAAACAUAGAAUAACACCCACCCUGGUGUGGAAGGAUUCCUCUCUCAAAGAUGUCACGUUGCCCUUUUCCUCAUCUUGAGCUGAGGCCCCUAAGAAGGUCGUGGCUCCACUCUACAGUGGCCCUGGAUCACUGAAAUCCCCAAGGAAAGGGAGCUUCAAUUCACUCUUCUCUGGGGCUGCAGGAAUUCUUGGUCAAAGCGUUAUUAUAAUGUUGGUAUUUGUUAAGCGCUUACUAUCUGCCGAGCACUGUUCCAAGCGCUGGGGUAGACACAGGGGAAUCAGGUCGUCCCACGUGGGGCUCACAGUCUUAAUCCCCAUUUUACAGAUGAGGGAACUGAGGUACAGAGAAGUUAAGUGACUUGCCCACAGUCACACAGCUGACAGGUGGCAGAGCCGGGAAUCAAACCCAUGACCUCUGACUCCCAAGCCCGGGCUCUUUCCACUGAGCCACGCUGCUCCGAGCCAUUUCUGAUUCAUAGCGACCCUAUCGACGAAUUUUCCCCAGAACAUCUUAUCUUCUGCCAUAAUCCGUAACCUUGCUAAAGAUUCUUUCGUUAUCAAUGUUAUGGCUUCUAGCCAUCUAGCUGCUGGUCUGCCUCAUCCACAUUUUCCCGGGACUUUUCAUAAGCAUUAGUGUCUUCUCCAGACUAUUAGUCCAAAGAGAGCAGUUGAUGCCCUAGUUUAAUUCUGUUUCUGCAGGCAGUUCUCCCUGAGACCUCUCACAGAU